rnacentral:rRNA from 1 species
UGGGGAAUUUUGGACAAUGGGCGAAAGCCUGAUCCAGCAAUGCCGCGUGUGUGAAGAAGGCCUUCGGGUUGUAAAGCACUUUUGUCCGGAAAGAAAUCCUUGGCUCUAAUACAGUCGGGGGAUGACGGUACCGGAAGAAUAAGCACCGGCUAACUACGUGCCAGCAGCCGCGGUAAUACGUAGGGUGCAAGCGUUAAUCGGAAUUACUGGGCGUAAAGCGUGCGCAGGCGGUUUGCUAAGACCGAUGUGAAAUCCCCGGGCUCAACCUGGGAACUGCAUUGGUGACUGGCAGGCUAGAGUAUGGCAGAGGGGGGUAGAAUUCCACGUGUAGCAGUGAAAUGCGUAGAGAUGUGGAGGAAUACCGAUGGCGAAGGCAGCCCCCUGGGCCAAUACUGACGCUCAUGCACGAAAGCGUGGGGGAGCAAACAGGAUUAGACU